UGAGAAAAUAAUCUUUGUGUGUGACAAUUUAAUUGAUGUAGGAAGUGGUAACGUAAAUGUUUUAAAAGUUGACUGGUGGUGUUUGCUAUGAGGCUUAGGAUAGCAGUUUAUUCCUCUUUUGGAAGCGUUGAAUGAUAUCAAUUUCGUUGUUAAAGUAGAAGCGCGUUCCAGGUGUUGCUGUGAGUGAUAGUUUUUCUGAAAAAGACAAAUAUUUGUUAGCAUUUAGUUUUUUGUAAAGUUUAUGUUUAGUUUAUUACCUUCAUGUAUCCGUGGAAUGAUACUUGUGAUGAUUACGACUUGUUUUUUCCUUGUUGAUAUGCGAUUUAACUCUCUGAAAUUAGAUGCCUCCUUGUCCCAUAAAGUUAGACGUACCAAUUUCGAUCUACAAAUAAUUAUUGUAUUAGAUUUUGUUUAGUUGUAAACCAAUUAUUACUUAAUAAAAAGUUUGUACCUGUCUAAACGUAAUCCAAUGAUGAUUUUUGAAUCUGUGUAGUGGUUAUAUAAAUCACUUCCUUGGAUGAGGCAAAUGCGGCCAACAACAUCUGUAGGAAUAAUUUGGUUGUUUGGAAAAAAAAAUUAGGAUUUAUUUUUGUGUGAGAGAGUUUUUGUUUUUUUUUUACCUGGUAGGAAAUUGGUUUCACUUGCUAAGCUGAUCAACUGGGUGUAGCGUUGUGGCCGGAAUAUGUAUGAAGGAAUCGGUGCAAUGUUUUCUUGAAUCAGUGUAAUAGUUGUUGUUUCUUUGAUAUUGAUUAUGUAUGGUUGAUCGGUAAGCCUGUAACGUUGGUUAUUGGGGAGGAGAUUAAAAUAUCUAAUGUGAUAAAUUUUUCCUUCUUCGAAGCGUUGGUACAUUGGGUCAGACGUAGAAAUAGGUACCUUCCCCUCCAUUUUUUGUUCGUGUUUAGUGGUUAGAAGCAAUCAUUUGAAAUAUAGUUGGAAUAAUUAAAAAUAUGAAUUUUAGACAAACCUGGAUGUCAAGACAUAUGAAAGUUGUCCCUAGGAAAGCAUCUUUAUUUUUGUGAUUUGUGAUGGGCCAGACCCUAAGGAUCCUAACGAUUAUUGGAUGAGGUUCGAGGGUGUUGUCCUAAUUGCUUUGAUCUUGUGGUGCAUGUGCUACAUAGAUAAGAAUGAGAAUUAGUAUUUUUUUGGCAAUUUUGUUUAAAUUUUUUUUUUUGAAGUGAACAUAGUUAGGGUGUGUUUUUUUUAAGUAUUGUCAUGGUUUUUUUUUAAAGUUUAAGUAGGUCGGGCCAUAAUUAUAGGUGGUAGUAGUAAAUUUGUUGGGUGGGUUUGAUAGUAGAAUUUAGUUUUUUAUAGAAAUUUACAGGGACUGUGUGUGAAAUGAGGGGGUUUUGUUAUCUUGGGCGUACUAUUUUAAGAUCAAAGGGAACUUAGGCGGUUUGCACAUUGUUAUAGAAAACAGUUGAAAUAAAAAAUUGUCUGAAAUAAUAGAAAAUGCAAAAGAAAAUAGUUUGAAAGUUGAAAUAAGUAAUGGGAUGGGCUGAAAAAAUUUUUAAUCUGGCCCAACAGCAAAGAGACGGAGACAGCAAUUUCGUGAGCGAAACCGGUUAACGGGCUGGGCUGCAAUUACGAUUUGUUGGUCUGGGUUACCAGUGACGUGGCAGAAUGAAUGGCUGAGAAUAUUUUGCCUAUGUGGCAUCCUUUAUAACAUCCAAAAUUAGUAGCUUUUAUAUAGUGGGAUAUCUUUUAUUCACGACAUAAAAAAAUAUAUAUAUAUAUAAAAGGUUUAAUCACAAUAUAAAGAAGAAAAGAAAAUCAAAAUGAAAAGAAUUGAAUCAUACAAUGUGAAAGUUGGGCAUAUAUAUCUACCAACGUAAAAAACUAUAUAGUACAAUUUAAAAAGAGAAAAUGCUCCCAUUCUGUAAAAGUUCACUUUUGCAAAAGAAAAAAAAUAUUCUUUUUCUUUUGGUUAAAUGAAAACACUUUGAUAAAAUUUGGAUGAAAUUUCAUCUUGGAUCCAAAUUAAUUAUAUAAAAAACAUUUUAAGAUUUAGGAAACUCAAUUAACACAUCAAAAUUGGGGAAACAAAAACAAAUUAUAAUUAUGGAUAAUGAUUUGAAUGAGUGUUUUUAUACCUAUCAUCGGGCAUUAUGGGAAGAGUUCUAGUUCCAGAAGCAGUGGGAGACCUAACAUGACCCACCAUUUAAACCUGAAGAGCUUCUUCUUCUUCACAAGCUCUUCUCUCCAAUUCUUCUUACGUUUGACUAACAUCGCCAUCACCACCACUGUCAUCUUUUCCUCGAGCUUCGAUCGUCACCACGAGAGCAAUUCCUUUGCCUUGUUCCUUUACAAAUUACAAACAUAAGGGUCAGGGCUAGGGUUACAACUUGACUUGCUCUUCAAGAAAUCGAUCAAGAUUGGGUUUUGAUCGGUACCAACAACGUUAACCUCGUAAUGGUUCGUGGCCACACCGUCAGGGUUAGCACUGUAAGCUACUAGACCGAGGACAAACAUGCAUUGUAAGCUGAUAACUUAACUUGACGGUAUAGAUUUUUAUACCGGAGAAUUUAGAAGGGAGAUAUAUUUUCUGUGUGGUGCCUGUUUGAGAUUUAGCUUAAAGUUUCUAAUGGUGUAAUCUCUGAUCAUGAGAUCAUGAAGAUGAGUAGAUUGGAUGAUUGAGAAUUAGAUUGGUGGGAUGAUAAGAGAAGUUUGACGAGAAUGAUGAUGGUAUUAGCGAUCUUUGAUGUACAAAAAGAAAAUGAAUCCAUGAGAGGAUCAAGAGAGACUAUAGGGUUUGUAGGAAGUGAAGAGUAAAGAAACAAACGUUAUAAA